ACGAACGCUGGCGGCGUGCUUAACACAUGCAAGUCGAACGGAAAGGCCCUGCUUUUGUGGGGUGCUCGAGUGGCGAACGGGUGAGUAACACGUGAGUAACCUGCCCUUGACUUUGGGAUAACUUCAGGAAACUGGGGCUAAUACCGGAUAGGAGCUCCUGCUGCAUGGUGGGGGUUGGAAAGUUUCGGCGGUUGGGGAUGGACUCGCGGCUUAUCAGCUUGUUGGUGGGGUAGUGGCUUACCAAGGCAUUGACGGGUAGCCGGCCUGAGAGGGUGACCGGCCACAUUGGGACUGAGAUACGGCCCAGACUCCUACGGGAGGCAGAAGUGGGGAAUAUUGCACAAUGGGCGGAAGCCUGAUGCAGCAACGCCGCGUGCGGGAUGACGGCCUUCGGGUUGUAAACCGCUUUCGCCUGUGACGAAGCGUGAGUGACGGUAAUGGGUAAAGAAGCACCGGCUAACUACGUG
rnacentral:rRNA from 1 species